rnacentral:snoRNA from 4 species
CUGCGAAUAUUCUCGCUGUUCUGAUGUUGUAAUAAUCAGGGCAGGCUAAACAUUCGCUAUAUUAAGACCAUGCAUGUGUCCCCGGACCUAGUUCUUUUCCUAGGUCUGGUUUUAUAAAUGCUGGUGAUAAAC